AGCCGACACUUGGUCAGACCUGUCCGUCUUCACGUUAACGGCGGUUUUCACGAUGAUAUCUGCAACAUUUGUCACGGCAGAAACAUCACUGUAUCCUUGUUAAUCACACAACAUUAGUGGGUUCAUUUCCUGGACGUCAAUUUUCAUGUUUUUCCCUUCGAUUCUCAGAAAGAAAGAGUUGUUUAUCAGUGAUGGACAGCUGGAGGCGACACACUACCCAUAAUCCUCAGCUACCGUUGCUAUAGAGACGACGCCAGUCCGCUUUGCUUGACAACAUCGUUUUAACUAAUUAUUCCUAAAUUAAACAGGAUGUGAAUGUGAAUAAACGUUAAUUAAAAGCGACUGAUAAUUAAAUCGGUGUCUAAAAAACAUCAACCUUCAGUUUCAGCUCGCAGGAAGCGAUAGGUCAGCAGCUUUCAAGCUCGGUGAUUGGAUGCUUUAAUCGCAGUGCACCUUGGGAGUUGUAGUACACGUGAGUCAUUUCGGGACUCUGGAUGACCCUUGAUUGACACCCGCCACAGACAGGUAAGUUUUCAUGAACUGAUCAAUAUAAUGUCAACAAAAAUACAAGCAUAACAAACGUGAAAUAUGUCGUUAAGAGCACUUUGUUUUAGAGAGAGAGGGAGAAACUUAAGAACAUCCUCUGAAACAUUCUGUCCUUUGCAACGUGUGUUCAUGUGAAAGCUAGUGUAGCUGCCAUCGAAGUCAGGAUAAAUAAAUAAAUAAUAGAUUAAUAAAUAUUAGGUUAAAAAUAUAAUCUUCAUAAAUAUAUAUAUAUUUCUACGAUCAAUAGUUUAAUAAUAGUUUAAUAUUAAAGGUAACAUUUCAUUUGUUUCAUGUAUUUUCUUGGUUUGAUGUGGGGGACAUAUCUUAAUUGAGAUAGGAACCAAAGUUUGCUGCCGCGGGUUGAAGGGGUGUUACUUUUAAGGGUCGGAACUUGUUGAUUGAAACCAUUUGGACCAAGCUAGCAGGUCGACACCUCGCCGAUUCCUCUACCUGAGAUCAGCACUGAUUAAGAAGACUUCUCAUUUUCUCUCAAGGGAAAGCGGCCGAUGAGACUAAAUGCUGGUCCAAGUGUGACACAAACAACAGCAGAAGUAUGUGAAGCUCGAUGAGGUUGGAGGACAAUAUGACUUCCUGCAAUUUCAUGAAAGAGAAAUUGUUUGGUAUAGGCAUGGACUACAUCAAGGCCCACAUGGAUCUGGAGUCAGUCCCAUCACCAGGCAGCCAUUCAGGGUCAGAGGAGGAGGACUUCUUUGGUCUUACGAAGGCAAACGUUCAAGAAACCACAAGACAGCUGGACACCUAUCUGGCCAGUUCAACAACGUCCAUCACUGUCCUCCAGUCAGUGCCCAAUGUUCUCAACUUGUCCCUCAGGAUCAACAGUCCGCCGCCUGCCUCGGCAGCAUGUGAAAGACUUUUAGCUCAGCUGGGAAGGUUUUUUCUCCAAAAAAAGGCAGACUAGGUUAAAAAAAAACUUUGAAAACCAACAACAGUGCAAUACUUUUUCAUUACUACUGUUUACUAUCUUGCUGUUUUAUUAUUAUGUAUAUAAUCUUUUAAC